rnacentral:rRNA from 1 species
GCGAGGCCGAAAGGCGUAGUCGAUGGGAAACAGGUUAAUAUUCCUGUACUUGGUGUUACUGCGAAGGGGGGACGGAGAAGGCUAUGUUAGCCGGGCGACGGUUGUCCCGGUUUAAGCAUGUAGGCUGGUUAUCCAGGCAAAUCCGGAUAAUCAAGGCUGAGGUGUGAUGACGAGGCACUACGGUGCUGAAGUAACAAAUGCCCUGCUUCCAGGAAAAGCCUCUAAGCAUCAGGUAACAUCAAAUCGUACCCCAAACCGACACAGGUGGUCAGGUAGAG